rnacentral:rRNA from 1 species
UACGUAGGGUGCGAGCGUUAAUCGGAAUUACUGGGCGUAAAGCGUGCGCAGGCGGUGAUGUAAGACAGAUGUGAAAUCCCCGGGCUUAACCUGGGAAUUGCAUUUGUGACUGCACGGCUAGAGUGUGUCAGAGGGAGGUAGAAUUCCACGUGUAGCAGUGAAAUGCGUAGAUAUGUGGAGGAAUACCGAUGGCGAAGGCAGCCUCCUGGGAUAACACUGACGCUCAUGCACGAAAGCGUGGGGAGCAAACAGG